rnacentral:tRNA from 1 species
GGGGCUGUGGCUCAGAGGUAGAGUGCCCACCUACAUGUGUGAGGCACUGGGUUUGAUUCCCCAGCACCA